rnacentral:tRNA from 1 species
UACUUAUUAUUGGAGUUGAACCAAUACUUUUAUAAAAAUCAAAUUUUAAAUCUGACGUGUCUACCAAUUUCACCAAAUAAGC